rnacentral:tRNA from 1 species
GCCGGUUUGGCUCACUGGAUAGAGCGUCAGCCUGUGGACUGAAGGGUCCUGGUUCGAUUCCAGUCAAGGGCA